CAGAGUGAAAAGGCUGCCUAUUGUUUGUCAUUCUGGAAAAAGUAAAACUACAAGAACAGAAAACAGGGCUGUCAGGGGCUGGGGAUAUGAGGAGACGUUUGACUGUUAUUGGACCAGCUCUCUGUCACCCCGUGUGGAGAAAUCCGCCCCUGUGCUACUACAUGAGGGACCCCAGUCCCCUACACCCCUGCCACUGCACUUAGGUUGAAAAGAACCACUUGAGGAGCGUGACUCCCACCUGGAGAUGUAAAGAUGCACCUGCCUUAGCUGCCUUUCCUGUCCUCGAGAUUUCUCUCAUUUACCUGUUUCCAGCAGAGCGGAGGUAAAGCUAAAGCAAUCUUUUUUCUCCCCUGGCCAGCCUGAAAAGCUGCCCACGAACAGCCCCAUGGAGAUGUCAGCAGGUGUCAAGUACCUUUGUCACUUGGCCUGGGCAAGUGGAUUGUUAGCUUUUCAACCAUCCUACAACUGAAAGGAGAUUGGAAUAUUCUUUCCUCUCUAAUGAAAUAUGAAGUUAUAGUACUGCAAUCAA